UGAACGCUGGCGGUAGGCCUAACACAUGCAAGUCGAACGGCAGCACAGUAAGAGCUUGCUCUUACGGGUGGCGAGUGGCGGACGGGUGAGGAAUACAUCGGAAUCUACUCUGUCGUGGGGGAUAACGUAGGGAAACUUACGCUAAUACCGCAUACGACCUACGGGUGAAAGCAGGGGAUCUUCGGACCUUGCGCGAUUGAAUGAGCCGAUGUCGGAUUAGCUAGUUGGCGGGGUAAAGGCCCACCAAGGCGACGAUCCGUAGCUGGUCUGAGAGGAUGAUCAGCCACACUGGAACUGAGACACGGUCCAGACUCCUACGGGAGGCAGCAGUGAGGAAUAUUGGACAAUGGGCGCAAGCCUGAUCCAGCCAUACCGCGUGGGUGAAGAAGGCCUCGGUUGUAAGCCUUUCGUUGGUAAGAAAUCCAGCCGGCGUAAUACCUGGUUGGGUAGUGACGGUACCGAACGAAUAAAGCACCGGCGUAACUUCGUGCCAGCA
rnacentral:rRNA from 1 species